AAGCAGAGAUGCACUUCCGGGUUGGGCGGGGCCCACUCUUAGAGCUGGGCCCGCUUUGGCCCUUUCUGGCCGUUAGCGCGGCUUGGGGUUAUUCAAUGCACUUCUUGUUUGCAGAUGGUGAAGAGCGCUCGCCCAGUAGCAGAACCAAACCCGGGCUUCUGGUCUCAGCUCCAGAAGUAUGAGGAGGCCCUCCAGGCCCAGUCCUGCCUGCAAGGAGAGCCCCCAGCCUUAGGGUUGGGCCCUGAGGCUUGAAGCGUGAAGGCCUGCUGCCUAGAGGAAGGAUGUUCCUGCACGGAUACAGAAGGCUGGUCUUUACCCUUCUUCCUCACUGUCAUAUCGAGUUUUCCUUUUUGUGUGUGUGUGUGAAACAUAGUGCUUUUAAUUUUAUAUUUCUGGCUGAGCUGAUGCACAAAUUAUCUUACAGACACAAAAAGAAAUACAUUUGGUAAAACAUUGAAGACGAAUUAAGAAAAAGCGAAUGGGGUCCUCCAUUAUUUAUACUCCAAAAUCUUGAGUGUUUGGGGAUGCUGGCGCAUUCUACCAGUCUCAGUGAAGGACAUGAGUACAGACUACAGUAAUCAGAAUGAGUCAUAGGUGAAAUCAGGAAAAGCAACUCUUCUUGUGUUUAUUUUUAGUAGUGUCAUAAGAACGGACUAGUUCUUCCUGCGUGACUACAGAUGCUUCUGUUUGAGAAAAUGCAUACCCACGUGGGACAUUUAGAUCAAGAAAGCUGUUAAUGAAGACAUUGUUGAAGGGCAACUUGGGUGAUUGGGGAAUUAUUCUCUUCACCAGCCCCUCUGCAACACAGCUGGAGCUCUCCCAUAGGAGUUCAGACAAUUACGGACAUCGUCUUUCUUUCCUUUCCUUUCUCUUUUCUUCUUUCUUUUCUUUCUUUCUUUCGUUUGUUUGAGACAGAGUCUAUGUUGCCCAGGCUGGAGUGCAGUGGGGCAAUCCCGGCUCACUGCAACCUCCGCCUCCCUGGUUCAAGUGAUUCUCCUGCCUCAGCCUCCUGAGUAGCUGGGACUACAGCACGACUCCCACGCAGCUCACUACGGACAUGACCAGAGCAGCAGGAACCAAAGGGAGACCCGCCCAUUGUCACUCUCUUAACCUCUGAUCUCGAGGUGAUUUGACAGAAUUCUGCAGGAAUUUGGUUUCAAAGCCAGUGUAAACAACUGUGCCAGUGAUCCACUGAGCAUUUCUUUUUUUUUUUUUUCUUGAGACGGAGUCUCACUCUGGCGCCCAGGCUGGAGUGGGUGCCAUCUUGGCUCACUGCAAGCUCCACCUCCCGGCUUCCUGCCAUUCUCCUGCUUCAGCCUGCAAACUCCACCUCCCAGCUUCGUGCCAUUAUCCUUCAGCCUCCUGAGUAGCUGGGACUACAAGCGCCCGCCACCGCGCCUGGCUAAUUUCUUUGUAUUUUUGGUAGAGACGGGGUUUCACUGUGUUAGCCAGGAUGAUUUCAAUCUCCUGACCUCGUGAUCUGCCUGCCUCGGCCUCCCAAAGCGCUGGGAUUACAGACGUGAGCCACCUCGCCCGGCCAAUCCACUGAGCAUUUCUAAGCUGUGUACCUCUUAACAAGACCGGUCAGGCCCAAUUGGAACAGGGCUUUUACCACUUAGGCGGAAGCUCAGCUGUUGAAAUGACGAUCAGGUGCUUCACGGUCUAUUUUUCCAGAUAGGCCUAACAGCUGGUUUUCUGUUUGCAUUUCAGCUGUUUCUGGCAAAGCCUGCCAUGUCUUACAUUUGUCUGUCCAUCCAGAUUAGAUGUUGCUAUAUAAACACGUCGACUGAGGCUCACUGGAACACAUCAGGACUGUGUCUGCUGGAAGGAGCUCCCCGUUCGAGGCCUUCACAGUGUCACCCACAUUCACCUCUUUCCACUUAAUCGUGUGCCAUGAAUCCUGUCAUAACAGUUUUGUGUUCCUUAACUAUUUUGUCUGCCAUGGCAUUUAUGAUGUAUAACCUCUUUAAUGCCUGAAAACAUAAGAAUCAUCAUCAAAGGCAAGACGGUUGCAUAUUUUCCCGUUGGAGACACGUCUGGAAUUUGCUGCAAUAAAGUAAUAAGAAGAAAGCAUUGGCAGCUUUGGUAAACUGCAGAUUCAAAAAUCCAGGGAGAAAUGAGCACACGCUGUACUUGGCUGUACAUAUAAUUGUUGACUAUGGGUUGCAGAAAUUUCUCUCAAGCAUCAUCACCACUUUUGCUCAGUUAUCAGUAGUAAUAACAGCAAUCAAAACUGAAACUGCUGCAGAUGCCUCUAGGAAGUAUGGUUUUCCAUCUUUCCUACUGCUUUCUUCACAAGAGAAUCCACCUCGGUGGCAGGCUGAAGGGCCCAGUCUGCAGUCCUGCCACCAGUGCCCUCUGAGCUCCAUGGUUCCACUGCACCAUGGCCGCCCACUGCAUUCACCUCCACACUGUUUUCAUUUUUUCCAGUUAAGCCCAUCUUCCUGAAACGCAGCUCAAGAGGGUCUCUGUCCCCUCUUGAUGGUGGGGCAGGGGUCUGUGCAUCAGACCACACAGACCCCUGCACCACCAUCUGCCCCAUCCUCUCCCUCUGGUCAGCUCAGCUUAUUAAACAAGCCUUGGUCAGGAAAAUCUAAACCACUUAAGGAACUGGGUAGAAAGAAACAAUGCAGGGAGAAGGCGGCUGGGGAGCCAAGUACAGGAGAUGAGACAUAGGGGAGUCACAGGGACCUGCCACCCAGAUCCCCACUGCCUGAUGUCCUGGCUCUGGAGGACACCUGGAGCUGCCAGCAGAGCCUCCUGCCCACCAGCUGCUGAAGCCACAAUGCAUCUCCUUCCUCCCACCUCCCGGACCUCUCACUGGUCUCAUCUGGGCACCGAACACGGGAAGCCCCUCCUGUGACAGGCAGGGGAGAAGGAGGCUGUGCUGACAGACGGCCCGGUGAGGGAAUCCGGGAGGCCUCCAGCAUCUGCACCCCUCUCCUACUUUGACCUCUCUGUUUCACCAACAUUGCACCCCAACCUGAAGUCACAUAGCUACUGUCAAGCCAACGAGGUGCUGCCUCUUCCGCCGUGUGAGGGUGGAGCCCCAUAAGCCACCACUGGAGGCAUCUGAGCAUGUUGAUUCCUUCUCUAGUUCAGACACAACCUCUCCUGGACAUCCUGUGGCCUAAAGACUACCCUAGAAUCAACACUCCUUAAAUAAGAGUGGGGGAAGAAAAGGAAAAUGUGUGUAAUACAUGUGAAUCACAACGUAGUCAUUGGUUAAUAUAUACAACUACGUGUAUUUACAUUCUGUAUGCGGCAAUGAGUAAAAUACUGUGGUUGGCGCUUA